rnacentral:rRNA from 1 species
CAGCAGCCGCGGGAAUACGUAGGGUGCAAGCGUUAAUCGGAAUUACUGGGCGUAAAGCGUGCGCGGGCGGUUUGUUAAGACAGAUGUGAAAUCCCCGGGCUUAACCUGGGAACUGCAUUUGUGACUGGCAAGCUAGAGUAUGGCAGAGGGGGGUGGAAUUCCGCGUGUAGCAGUGAAAUGCGUAGAUAUGCGGAGGAACACCGAUGGCGAAGGCAGCCCCCUGGGCCAAUACUGACGCUCAUGCACGAAAGCGUGGGGAGCAAACAGGAUUAGAUACCCGAGUAGUCCCUGUCUCUUAUAC